CCCGAGUCCUUGCUGGGAGCUGGUGUUGCUUCUGCGCCAUUCCUCCCACCUCGCUGCAUGCAGGUGACAGGGUGCCUCCCAGCUAUUGCCACCACGCCUCCUUCCUCUGUUUCAGCUCCAGUCCCCACCAGUCACAGAGACAUCUUCCCCCAGCGCUACAGACCCUCACCACAGGAAGACACACGAGUGCUCCAGUAAAGUGCUUACUGUGUUUUACAAUCAGUGUUUCCAUUUCAAGCUCAGUUGCAAGGUCUUCCCCUCCAGUGAACACUCCAUCAGCUCCACCUCAGAUCAUGGAGUAGCCCUCAUUGUUAAGAAAAGAGUCUGAAAUGCAGUACUUGGACACAAUCUCAAAGAUGACAGAAUGAUCUUGUUCAUUUCCAAGGCAAACCAUUCAAUAUCACAGUAAUCCAAGUCUACACCCCAACCAGUAAUGCUGAAGAAGCUGAAGUUGAACAGUUCUAUGAAAACCUACAAGAUCUACUAGAACUAACACCCAAAAAAGAUGUCCUUUUCAUUAUAAGGGACUCGAAUGCAAAAGUAGGAAGUCAAGCAAUACCUGGAGGAACAGACAAAUUCAGCCUUGGAGUAUGGAAUGAAGCAGGGUAAAGGCUAAUAGAGUUUUGCCAAGAGAAUGCACUGGUCAAAGCAAACAUCCCCUUCCAACAACACAAGAAAAUACUCUACACAUGGACAUCACCAGAUGGUCAAU
rnacentral:lncRNA from 1 species